CCUUUUAAUUCCUCUUACUGUAACACGUUCCACUUCUAUGGGAUACAACUCAUUUCACUAUGGUUCACUUUAAUUUUGCAUUCUUUCUUCAUUUUGCUUGUGAACUCUCUCUCAGCUAAAGAGCAAAUAUUUUUAAGCUGAUGAUUACUGCUCUAACUUAUACAAGCCAGUAGUAGUGUUGGGCAUGUAUGAGAUUCCUCUAUUGCCACUGCCUGAUAGGUCUACAUGGGAGGUACCAGAUUUUAAUUGAGCGAAAUUGUUCUGCCGCCAAAGUACAAAUGUCCCCCCGGAGGCCAAAGAAAAGAGAAAGAGAAAAGUUUGUUAGUGAUUUUUAUAAGACUGAAUCCACUAAUUCAUGCAGUGCUUGUGGGAUGACUGCUCACAAUAGGCGUUCGUGUAGAAAAAUACUCCGAAUUGAAUAAUUUUAUACAUUUUAAUUUGUUUA